rnacentral:lncRNA from 1 species
AGAAAUCAAACAUCAUUCAUCACCCAAAACUCCAUAGAAGAAUUAUCAUGUUUCUCAAAAGAACUUUCCACAUGUCGGUUUGUUUUUCACUCAGCAUCUAUCUAGGUGCCCCACCUUUGUUUGGAAAAAAAAGAGUUCAUAAGUUAAGUUUUCUCCUCAAAAGAUUCCAUUCAAGACUGGCUGGCUGGAAAUGUCGACUAUUAUCUAGAGGAGGUCGAUUGACUCUUGUUAACUCUGUUCUCACAGCUCUACCUUCA